rnacentral:misc_RNA from 1 species
UAUUCUCAAUCCAUUCUGGAUUUUUGAAAAGAAAUCUGUUUGGGUUGGAUAUGGAGGUUUAAUGUUGGUUAUAUUCAAUCAACUCCUCUGAAAUGCAUCAGUAGAAAUAAAAUGCUGUCUUCAGUGUGAUAAUUAUCUGCAUUGUGGAAUGGCAUAUGAAGUUUCUGCUUCCAACUGUCUGUUUGCUCAGACAUUUAUUAUGAC